rnacentral:rRNA from 1 species
GACGAACGCUGGCGGCGUGGAUUAGGCAUGCAAGUCGGACGGUAGGGCUUUAUCGUAAGAUAGAGUUUGAGAGUGGCGAACGGGUGAGUAACACGUAGGAAUCUACCCUUAAGACGGGGACAACCCAGGGAAACUUGGGCUAAUACCGGAUGAGAGUGCGAGAGAUUGCAUUUAAAAGGAUGGCGAAAGUUGUCGCUUAGGGAUGAGCCUGCGGUCUAUUAGUUAGUUGGUAAGGUAAGAGCUCACCAAGGCGAUGAUAGAUAGGCGGCCUUAACGGGUGGUCGCCCACACUGGGAUUGAGAUACGGCCCAGACUCCUACGGGAGGCAGCAGUCGAGAAUAGUCUACAAUGGCCGGAAGGCUGAUAGUGCGACGCCGCGUGAACGAGGGAGCCCUUCGGGUGUAAAGUUCUUUUCUAUACGAGCAGUGCUAUAUAUAUGGAUAGUAUAUAUAGAGGGAUAGUAGUAUAGGAAUAAGCAACGGCUAACUCCGUGCCAGCAGCCGC